AAUAAUAAAUGCAGUGAUCUUGAGGGCUAAAGCAUGCUUUAGAGAUGGUGGAGAUAUUUUAGUGGCCUCAGAGUUGGAAACACUGGAAUUGAUUGAGAUAGUGUGAUACUACGAUUUUGUCUACAUUUGAUGGUGUGUGUUCUCUAGCUACCAGAGGAGCAAAUUGUACCACUUGUAAUGUGGAUGUAUAGCCCAUUUUCUAAUAGACUGGGAAAAAAACAUGUGGAUAUGGUUUUACAAUACAGGCUGCAUUAUGCUGAUAUUCUAGAAGUUAUUAACAUGUUUUGCUUUAUUUAGAAAAAUGAACAUCUAAAGAAAGGCAGCACAGGCUCCAUGCAUUGAAAUUCUGUGGCCCCACUUAGUCUCAACUNNNNNNNNNNNNNNNNCUUCUCCUUACAUCUUUUUCCUUUUGGUGCCUAGUAUUACCUGCUGCUUUUCAUUCUGGGGACUUAAGUGAGCAACUGCAGAGCUGUCUGUAUAUGGUAAUUCUGUUAUUAUAUUAAAAUAUGUGUCAAUAUUGCCAAAAAAUAUGCCAAAAAUCAGUUUAUGUGGAGCACUCAAGAAGGGCUUCCUGGAAAGAUUUUCACUUACCACUUAUGUUAAGAGUUCAAAGUAAAGUUUUAAAUAAUCUCUCUUGUGCGUGUCCAGCCUUUUUACUGUCGCAGAGCUUUUACAAUUGUUUCUGACUCCUGGGUGCUUGGCCCUUUUACUAGUACUCCAGCCUCCUCAUCCCACUUCCAACAACAAACACAUGGCAGUGUUGACUCCCACACACUUGCAGGCACAUUUGCAUCGUGGUGUCAGAAGAUCACAAGAUCAACAAGCAGGACACCAGGGCUGAGUUCUCUAAUUUUUUAAACUAGUUGCAUGGCUUGGACAAAUUUCCAUCUCUUUAAGGAGGUAUCCUAUUUGUGCAGUGACACAGAGCUUAGCAACUGUUUUAUUCUAUAUAUAAUGUGACUAAGUCAAAUUCACUUUAUUUCAGUACUUGGGUCAGAGGUCAACAGAAAAUUUAGACUAGAAUUUUUUCAAAUUUUACUAGUACAUCUGAGCCCUGGGUGGUUCUGAGGAAACAAAAUAGAUAAGGAUAAGAACUGUUAGUAUUAAGAUGUAGAUUUGCAAAAAAAAGCAACAGGUAUUUGAAAGCAAAUUUCCACUCUUCCAUCUAGAUCUGAAAGUCCCAUGGACAGAGGAGCCUGGUAGGCUGCAGUCCAUGGGGUCGC
rnacentral:lncRNA from 1 species